rnacentral:rRNA from 1 species
CUACGGGAGGCUGCAGUGAGGAAUAUUGCGCAAUGGGGGAAACCCUGACGCAGCGACGCCGCGUGGAUGAUGAAGGCCUUCGGGUCGUAAAAUCCUGUCAGAAGGAAAGAAGUGCAUGGUAGCUAAUAUCUAUCAUGUUUGACGGUACCUUCAAAGGAAGCACCGGCUAACUCCGUGGCCAGCAGCCGCGGUAAUACGGAGGGUGCAAGCGGUGUUCGGAAUUACUGGGCGUAAAGCGCGCGUAGGCGGCUGUCUAAGUCAGAUGUGAAAGCCCAUGGCUCAACCAUGGACGUGCAUUUGAUACUGGAUGGCUUGAGUACUGGAGGGGGUGGUGGAAUUCCCGGUGUAGAGGUGACAUUCGUAGAUAUCGGGAGGAAUACCGGUGGCGAAGGCGACCACCUGGCCAGAUACUGACGCUGAGGUGCGAAAGCGUGGGGAGCAAACAGGAUUAGAUACCCCUGUAGUC